rnacentral:lncRNA from 1 species
GGGGGUUUUAGGAUAGGCCCCAAACCUGUGUGACUGGUGACCUUAUUAAAAUGGAAAGCGUGAGGUCAUUUGUCCUUCUUCCCCCAGUUGGAAGGAGGUUGAAGGCAAGGUGCACAAAAAUAAACUAAGUGCAAAUGGCAGCUGCAGGAAGAGGUGUGAGUUCUGUGGAGCUGGGGAGCAUGGACAGCGAUGCUGUGGGACAUGUUCAGUAUUAAGGACAGGAUUCUCCAGGGGAUCCCAGUGAGCAGUAGCAGACACUGGCUGAGACUUCCAUCUCUUGCUAAGACUUCUAUAGAAGAGACCUUGGUGUUCCCACAGAUUGAGGGAGGAUUCUGUCAGCUGGCUUGAAGAAUGAAAGGCCCUCUAUUUCUUGCCCCAGCACACAGCUACACUCCCUUCAUCACACUAACAGUUCCAGGGGAUGCCAUGUGAGCCUCUGUUCUUGGAUCUUGAUUUGUUCGAUGACUUCUCCAAAGCCCCAGGGCUCACAGUCACCAGGGUUCCUCUGGUUCCUCCAGACCUGGUCUCUGGUCUCACUUCCAUUGUGAACAAGAGAUCUGAGCCCAUCUGGGGAGGGCUUGCGGCAGAGGGGCCUGGCAUAGCAUUAGGUUCACAUGAUGUCCAGGUUGACAGGGAUAUAUUUAACUGUCUAUAUUUGCUGUCCCAACUCACUUGUCCCAAACCAGCCCCUCCUACCUCCAGCCUGUCCUGCAUCAUCGGGUCCCUGUUGUCCCUGCUCACCCCGCUCCAGCUGUACAAUUGUGGUCUGGGCCACAGGCUAUUUUUUGCUUGGUGCCAAAGAUUAUUCAGUUAUCAGGAAUGUGUGUUUAAAUGGCCAUCUCUGGAAUAAGGAUUAUAAAUAGGAACUUGGGGUCAAGACUGGGGCCCCAGUGUCCUCCUCUUUGUCCUAGUUCCUGUCCCAGUUCUGGGAUUUUAUGUGGGGUGGCCACCAUAUGGCUGGGGUGAGAUGGGCAAGCCCAAGGUUGUCUAGGGGGAAGCACCCAGGCUGGAAGGUCAGGGGCUCCACCCAAAGAAUGUCUCCUGAAGGAAAGUCGCCUGGCCUCUCUAAGACCAGAUUUCUCUCUGGUCAAGGAGAACACUCAGAACCAGUAGCUCCAUGCAUGGCAAACAGGUGGUGGGCCUCUGUCCAUGAAGCAAAAUCCAAGUUGGAUGAAUGGCUGUCUGGGAGGAGAGCCUGUCCAUUGUCAAAUACUAGUUCUUUCUGGGAAGGGAGCACAAAGUAUUAAAGAGAAAGGAACAGGAGGAAAAGAGGCUUAGGGGAUAGGAUUAGGAUGGAAUUUGCCCCAGAGAGCUCUUAGUCUGGUGGUGGAGGCCAGGCUCAGGCUUUACCUCAGCACCAAGGGGGCAGAGUUGAGCCCAGAUGUUCAGGAUGACGUUGGAGGCUUCCCCAGAGAGUGAGAGGAUGCCUCCUGAGGCUCCAGGUCUCCUGGAGAAGAUCUAAGUUCAGGCUCAGGCCGGGCAGAGUAGCAGAUGGGAGCAGGCAAAGGUGCCUGGACAACAGGGCCAACCUGCUUCCUGGUGUCCCUUCUGCCUGGAAGUACCUUCUCAAGGCCUGGGACAUGGCUCCCUCUGGUUCCCUUCAUUCCACCCAGGGGAAGGGGAAGAGGACAGUCUUCUACUCUAACACAGCUGAAACUAGGCUUUGGGGCACCACACAUUUCUCGCAUCAACUUCUCUAUGUAGUAGCAGGAACCCUGACUCACCUUCCUCUGUGGAUUGUCAAGUGUGAGACUGGGACAUGCAUCCCAGGAUAGCUCUAAGUGCAGCCAACACAGUUGCAGAUAGUAUCAACUUUUUAUGAUGUGAAAGAUUAGAGAUCCUUAGUCUAAAGGAAUGUUGUUAUAAUCAAUAAUAGUAACUUUCUGCACAUAGUCCUAUUGUCAGUUGACCUAUUGCCAGUCUCCUGAUGCCACCAAAUCUAGACAAGCUCACCAGUUCAGUGGAUUCUAUCCCCACAUUCUGCAUGUAGGUCUGCCCCAGGGACAUAAGCUUCUUCUGAUCUCCUGGUCCAUCUCUGCUCUCUCUUACCUUCCCCUCACCAUUGAGAAGUCUCCGGCACAGAUGACUAGUUGUUCUAGAACAGAGUCGUGGAUUUGCUCCAUCCUCAUCCCUGAACCUCAGAGACACUUAGCUGCCCCUCCUCUUCAGGGUGAGAUGAAGUGGCUAAAGAUCAUGGAAAAUGGCCAACAUCACCUUGACUGGGUCUAGAACCACCCAGAACCCUGUACUGGUUACUUUCUGUUGCUGUGACAAAAUACUAUUAUUAGGAUAUGUAUAUGUAUAUGUAUAUGGAUAUGGAUAUGGAUAUGGAUAUGGAUAUGGAUAUGGAUAUGGAUAUGUAUGUCCAAGGAAAGGGUUAUUUGGUUUAUUUGGACUUACAGUUGGAGAAGAAGAGUCCAUGACGGUGGUGAAGCAUGACAGCAGGCAGUCAGAGCAGGAAGCUGAGAUACCACGUUGGCAGCCACAAACAUGAAAGAGAGGUGUGACUGGAAAUGGUAUAAACUUGAGAGCUGCCCCAGUUAUGUACUUCCUGCAGCAAGGCCCUACCCUAUGAAAGCUCCCUAACUCCCCGGUGCCACCAACUGGAGACCAAGCGUUCAAACCCAUGAGCCUAUGUGGGGCAUUUCUAAUUCAAACUACCAUAGAGACCUAGCUCUGCCUGUAAGGGAUCAUCUAGAUCAGGUUGACUGAGCUGAGGGAGCACACCUUCACCAUGGGGAGGACCAUCCCAUGGCCUGGGGCUCUGGGCUGAAUUCUAAGGCAGGAGUCGAGCACUGCCAUUCAUCUCUCUUUGCUUCCUGACUGUCCACAGGAUGUUUUGAAACAUAAUGCCUUGUGCCCCUGCUGCUGCACCUUCCUCCAUGAUGGUCUAUGAGUCCAGAGAAACCACCCCUUCUCUCGAUUCUUUUGACAGAUACUUUGCCCCCAUGG